rnacentral:rRNA from 1 species
AUUGAACGCUGGCGGCAUGCCUCACACAUGCAAGUCGAACGGUAACAGGUCUUCGGAUGCUGACGAGUGGCGAACGGGUGAGUAAUACAUCGGAACGUGCCUAGUAGUGGGGGAUAACUACUCGAAAGAGUGGCUAAUACCGCAUGAGAUCUACGGAUGAAAGCAGGGGAUCGCAAGACCUUGUGCUACUAGAGCGGCCGAUGGAAGAUUAAGGAGUUGGUGGGAUAAAAGCUUACCAAGCCGACGAUCUGUAGCUGGUCUGAGAGGACGAUCAGCCACACUGGGACGGAGACACGGCCCAGACUCCUACGGGAGGCAGCAGUGGGGAAUUUUGGACAAUGGGCGCAAGCCUGAUCCAGCAAUGCCGCGUGCAGGAUGAAGGCCUUCGGGUUGUAAACUGCUUUUGUACGGAACGAAAAGCCCUGGGUUAAUACCCUGGGGUCAUGACGGUACCGUAAGAAUAAGCACCGGCUAACUACGUGCCAGCAGCCGCCGUAACAC